UGAAGAUUACACUGGUUUUGACGUGGUCUGCUGGACAAUAAGAACAGGAUUAGGCGUCUCAGUCAACCUACUUCUCCUUACUCCAUCCUUAUGCGCAACGACCUCCGCUGCACUUGGAAUGCAGCACGGAUAAGGUUUCUGUGAACAUGACUAAGUGACAACAUGAGCUGUGAUGACUGGAACUCCAAGCAGCACUUCAGAUAAAGAAGCCUUGCCACACCACUCUAUUCACUGCUCCAGACUUCAUUAAGGGACUACUUUUUCAACGCAGCCCCGGAGAACAUGGAAGGACACACCAGCGCUGCGUCAUUGCUCAUUGUGCCCUUGUUAUUGAGCGCCAUUGAACAAAGGAGUCAACAGAGGAGGGCUGUUUUUCAGAA